CAGCUGCUGGAUCUCUCAACGGCCUCCUGCUGCAUGCUGGGAUACGGUAUCUGCGCUUUGACGUCUGCGCGUAGACAAGUAAACAUCCCCGCCGUUAACCUACUCCCCUGGCUCCAGCUUGAACCACAGGCAAGAGGAAUAGAAAACCUAAGCCACAUACCAAACAAAAUAUCAAAAUACAAAAGAUUUCAUUUCUUAUCUUCUGUCAGUUAGACUGUGUUGUGUUAUGUGUAUAUGUAUGUUAUUAUGAUUGAUGAAUACUUGUGACUUUAUGUUACAGCACUCCACCAGCAGAUGGAGUCCUGCAUUCGCAAAUAAAGGGUACACUUGAGUUGAGCAGGAAGCACAUCAGGAUCAUCAGGGUGGUUGGAUAAGAGUCAUUUAAGAGCAUCAGUUGUGGUGAAGCACACGAAUUUCUUCUCUGAAUAGGAACCAUUGAACUUCAGUGUGAAGAAAUCAGUCAUACUUAGUUUUAGUGCUUUCAUUUAUGUUUUUUUUCAAGUGGCUAAAUAUCUACCAACAGAAAAGUUUGUAGAUAUUAAAGAAAAAAAGGGAGAUACAUGUUGGAGUUUGUCUAUUCUUCUAAAUCUAGAGUUUCACUUCCAGGCUCAAACAAGCUUCUUGACACCCACAGUAGAAACUGAUAAAGGAAAACCCUCCCAAAAUGGUGUAAAAAAAGACAGAAAUCUCACCACCAGUCAUCUUGGGUCUUUACUUUUGUCAUACCCAUCCCACCUGCAAAAUGUCCACCAUCAACUCAUGUUAGUGUGGACAGAGUGGGAGAGGCAGGGCAAAUGCUGGGCGUUAAGCUGUGCAGUGGGUGAGAAAGUCUAAAUUAUGCCAGUUAUGGGGGCUGCAAUCACCAUGCAACUACUGCUUUAGUUCUUGGUUUUUCAGUGCUUCUUGUUGUGUCAAAAUAAGAUUAAGUGUCUCUGCGUAUUCAGAUAUAUUUAUUUUCAUUUCAUUUACAAAUAAUAAUGCAAAGAUACAAAGACAUAAGCCUUCACACAAGAAAAAUACAUCAGGUACAAUUCAAACAGAAGCAUAUUUCAUCUUGAAUAUAGCACACAUUUACAGCCAACUUGGAUUCUUUUGGUCCGAUUCGACAGUUAAAUUAGAAAACACACAAUUUGAAGAACAAGGUUUGAACCAUUUGUUUGUUUGUUUUUUUUUUUUUAAAGGGUUAGCUCAAAAAAGUACCAACUUGCCAAGCUGUGCUGCAGAAUGCUAGAUUUUGCAUAUUCUAUGAGCAUAAUGUUUCCUGUUGCUGUGAGUGCACUAUGGGAGCAUAGAGCACAUCUUCACGGCAGUAAAAUGCAUGUGCAGUUUUGGAAUAGUAUCACUGUACUCAGAAACAAAAUACAUUAUAUAACAAUUUAGCUGCCAUUGUAUGAGGCUUGAACCAGCAGUGGGCUGCCCUCAAAAUGCACACAAAGGACUCAUAGAUGUCAUGACUAUGACUCCAGGUCAUCUUCCUGAUUCGGUUUGUUUUAACAUCUUAUGUCACAAAGUCAAUCGACAUAUAUCUAUAUCUAUAUCUAUAUAUAUAUAUCUAUAUAUAUGUAUAUGUAUAGCCUGACUAUACAGUAUUUGUAUCUGCUAUUUGUCAUGUUAUUUCUUACUGUAUGUCUAUGUUAAGAUGUAUAUAGUUAUACGCACUACAAAAGUGUUUGACAGCAGAUUUAUAAAACAAAGGCAAAACUAAAUAUUUAAUUUAAAGCAAAAUACAAUAUGUCGCGGUAUUUUCUGACAUAUUUUAAAAUUCAAUAUCAUGCAUAAAAGAGAUUUCCCAGGUAGUGGACACGAUAUAUCAGUCACAUCUCUUUAAGUUAUGCUCAGAGACUUUCAGUGAUUAUGUUCAAUGUAAACAAUGCAUUGAUAAGUUCAUACAGUAGUUUAUGUAUGAAAUAAUUUGUACCCCAAUAAAGUGUUUGGAAAAACAAAGGAGAGAAUGUGUUGCAACAGUUAGGAGGAUAAAAUGUUUCAGUUUUCUCUCAUUUAUGGCUGUUUUUGAACUUUGGUUUUUUGGUCUAACUGUUGAUUUAACAAAGAAAAACAAAAGAAUAUACAGUGCUGAUGACAGAU